rnacentral:lncRNA from 1 species
GAAAAAGUGAAAAAAACUUGAACUAAAGUGUUUGCAAGGUUGCCAAGACAUUAGCGAAAUCCUGAAACUAAUCUAAAUCGAUAUAUUGCUCUGGCUCAGGAUUAUUUGUGCAGCAAAAAAUGGCCAUUCUGUUUUACGUGUUCAAUCUGACAAUGUUGACAGUGCAACGACAUUUUCCCUUGUUAGCAGCAACUGUUUGUGUCGCUAAUAAAAUUUUUCUAAUUUUUCAUAGAAAAAGUGAAUUUUCUGUGCACUAUUUGAGUUUAUUCUGUUCCUUAAGGCCUGCUUAAUCUCCUGAAAAUGAGUGUUACUAAUAAUAUAUAUGCACCCUUCCUGCAAAGACCACCUAAAUGAAGAAACCUGGCUCACCGGCCCUUAUAUAAUUCUGAUGUCUUGCUAUGAUUCCAGUUUACGAGAUUGGUUUUACAUUAUAUCCAGUUAAAGCUUUUGUACAAUUAAUCGAUGUAUGUACAGUUCCAGAGCAGUACAUUUAUACUUUUGAUGAGUAAUAUCAAAAAUACAUCAGGACACCUGGACUUCAAUUCAACCAUCCUAUUCCAGAUGCCCUUAGGUUGAUUAAAAUCAACAUUCAACAGUGGAAUGAGUAUUCAACAGUGGAAAUUCGCUAUCAAAGAGGAACUAAAUAAUUUGUAUAUUUAGAUUUUCCACAACAAGUCGAUGGAUGCAUGCAGUUCCAGGGCAGUACAUUUAUCCUUUUGAUGAUGUUCCUUCUAUUCACCAACGAAUUUCAUCAUUUUUAAAUUUAAUUAACUGCACUCCAAACACCUUCUUCAAGAUGCCAUCAGGCUGAUUAAAUUCAGGAUUUAACAGUGGAAUGAGGAUGAAAUUCAUCAUUGAAGAGGAAACUAGUUAAUUUUAGAACCAAGACUUUCCACAAGGGUAGCCGGAAGAUUUAUUUAUUACCUCAACAUAGACAUCAGCAUCUCCAUCAAGACCUUGGAUUAAAAUCCAAGGUUUUGCUAUGUGUAUUAAGAUAUAUAUUUUAUAUUAAUAUUGUUAAUACAA